GGGGAUGUAGCUCAGUGGUAGAGCGUUCGCUUCGCAUGUGAAAUGUCCCGGGUUCAAUCCCCGGCAUCUCCA
rnacentral:tRNA from 2 species